UGGGGAAUUUUGGACAAUGGGCGCAAGCCUGAUCCAGCAAUGCCGCGUGCAGGAUGAAGGCCUUCGGGUUGUAAACUGCUUUUGUACGGAACGAAACGGCUCUGGUUAAUACCUGGGGCUAAUGACGGUACCGUAAGAAUAAGCACCGGCUAACUACGUGCCAGCAGCCGCGGUAAUACGUAGGGUGCAAGCGUUAAUCGGAAUUACUGGGCGUAAAGCGUGCGCAGGCGGUUAUGCAAGACAGAUGUGAAAUCCCCGGGCUUAACCUGGGAACUGCAUUUGUGACUGCAUAGCUAGAGUACGGUAGAGGGGGAUGGAAUUCCGCGCGUAGCAGUGAAAUGCGUAGAGAUGCGGAGGAACACCGAUGGCGAAGGCAGCCUCCUGGGCCAGUACUGACGCUCAUGCACGAAAGCGUGGGGAGCAAACA
rnacentral:rRNA from 1 species